CGCCUGCCCUGUGACAAUUGUUUAACGGCCGCGGUAUUUUGACCGUGCAAAGGUAGCGCAAUCACUUGUCUUUUAAAUGAAGACCUGUAUGAAUGGCAUAACGAGGGCUUAACUGUCUCCUUUUUCCAGUCAAUGAAAUUGAUCUUCCCGUGCAGAAGCGGGAAUAUAACCAUAAGACGAGAAGACCCUAUGGAGCUUUAGACACAAGACAGUUCUUGUUAAACACUUCAAAAUAAAGAAACAAACUAAAAGAACCCUGCCCUAAUGUCUUUGGUUGGGGCGACCACGGGGAAACAAAUAACCCCCACGCGGACUGAGAAAACAGUUCUUACAGCCAAGAGUUACAACUCUAAUCAACAGAAACUCUGACCACAAGAUCCGGCAAUGCCGAUCAACGGACCGAGUUACCCUAGGGAUAACAGCGCAAUCCCCUUUUAGAGUCCAUAUCGACAAGGGGGUUUACGACCUCGAUGUUGGAUCAGGACAUCCUAAUGGUGCAGCAGCUAUUAAGGGUUCGUUUGUUCAACGAUUAAAGUCCU
rnacentral:rRNA from 1 species